CGAAGUUGUAGUGCGAGUGAAGAUGCUCGCUACCCGCGAUUGGACGGAAAGACCCCGUAGAGCUUUACUGUAGCUUAGCAUUGAAUUUCGGUAUUGUCUGUACAGGAUAGGUGGGAGACUGGGAAAUCAGAGCGUCAGCUUUGAUGGAGUCAUCCUUGGGAUACCACCCUGAUAGUACUGGAAUUCUAACUGGAUGCCAUGAAUCUGGUGACAGGACAUUGUUAGGUGGGCAGUUUGACUGGGGCGGUCGCCUCC
rnacentral:rRNA from 1 species